GGGAAUACUGCCCGAUGGAGGGGGAUAACUACUGGAAACGGUAGCUGAAUACCGUCAUAACGUCGCGAGUACCAAAGUGGAGAGGACCUUCGGGCCUGCACUACCAUCGGAUGUGCCCAGAUGGGAUUAGCUAGUAGGUGGGGUGAAUGGCUCACCUGAGGCGACGAUCCCUAGCUGGUCUGAGAGGAUGACCAGCCACACUGGAACUGAGACACGGUCCAGACUCCUACGGGAGGCUAGCAGUAGGGGUAAUAUUGCACAAUGGAGCGCAAGCCUGAUGCAGCCAUGCCGCGUGUAUGAAGAAGGCCUUCGGGUUGUAAAGUACUUUCAGCGGGGAGGAAGGCGGUGAGGUUAAUAACCUUGCCGAUUGACGUUACCCGCAGAAGAAGCACCGGCUAACUCCGUGCCAGCAGCCGCGGUAAUACGGAGGGUGCAAGCGUUAAUCGGAAUUACUGGGCGUAAAGCGCACGCAGGCGGUCUGUUAAGUCAGAUGUGAAAUCCCCUGGGCUUAACCUGGGAACUGCAUUUGAAAACUGGCAGGCUUGAGUCUCGUAUAGGGGGGUAGAAUUCCAGGUGUAGCGGUGAAAAUGCGUAGAGAUCUGG
rnacentral:rRNA from 1 species